AUUGAACGCUGGCGGCAUGCCUUACACAUGCAAGUCGAACGGUAACAGGUCUUCGGAUGCUGACGAGUGGCGAACGGGUGAGUAAUACAUCGGAACGUGCCUAGUAGUGGGGGAUAACUACUCGAAAGAGUGGCUAAUACCGCAUGAGAUCUACGGAUGAAAGCAGGGGAUCGCAAGACCUUGUGCUACUAGAGCGGCCGAUGGCCGAUUAGGUAGUUGGUGGGGUAAAAGCUUACCAAGCCGAAGAUCUGUAGCUGGUCUGAGAGGAAGAUCAGCCACACGGGGACUGAGACACGGCCCAGACUCCUACGGGAGGCAGCAGUGGGGAAUUUUGGACAAUGGGCGAAAGCCUGAUCCAGCAAUGCCGCGUGCAGGAUGAAGGCCUUCGGGUUGUAAACUGCUUUUGUACGGAACGAAAAGCCCCGGGUUAAUACCCUGGGGUCAUGACGGUACCGUAAGAAUAAGCACCGGCUAACUACGUGCCAGCCGCCGCCGUAA
rnacentral:rRNA from 1 species